GAUGAAGAACGCAGCGAAAUGCGAUAAGUAAUGUGAAUUGCAGAAUUCAGUGAAUCAUCGAAUCUUUGAACGCACCUUGCGCCCCUUGGUUAUUCCAAAGGGCAUGCCUGUUUGAGUAUCAUGAACACCUCAACUCUUGUGGUUUCCCACAAUGAGCUUGGACUGUGGAGGUUUUGUUGGCCCUGUGGUCAGCUCCUCUCAAAUGGAUCAGCUUACCGGUGUUUGGUGGCAUUACGGGUGUGAUAACUAUCUACGCGCGUGGUCGUCUCCAAAUAACCUCCAGUGAUGGAGGUUCGCUGGAGCUUAUAAAUGUCUCUCCCCAGUGAAGACAGCCUUUGAACGUUCCAUCUCAAAUCAGGUAGGACUACCCGCUGAACUUAAGCAUAUCAAUAAGCGGAGGA
rnacentral:misc_RNA from 1 species